GUGAGCCAGUAUAGGUAUAUAUGUAUGUAUAUAUGUAUAUAAAGGUAUAUACAGUAUAGGUAUAUAUGUAUGUAUAUAUGUAUAUAAAGGUAUAUACAGUACAGGCGUAAUAUGAUCAAACUUUCUUGUUCUUGUCAAAAGUCUAGCAGCCACAUUUUGUACCAACUGUAAUCUUUUAAUGCUAGACAUGGGGAGACCCCAAAAUAAUACGUUACAGUAAUAGAGACGAGACGUAACAAACGCAUGGAUAAUGAUCUCGGCGUCUUUAGUGGACAAAAUGGAGCGAAUUUUAGCGAUAUUACGGAGAUGAAAGAAGGCCGUUUUAGUAACGCUUUUAAUGUGUGCCUCAAAGGAGAGAGUUGGGUGGAAGAUAAUACCCAGAUUCUUUACCGUGUCGCCUUGUUUAAUUGUUUGGUUGUCAAAUGUUAAAGUUGUAUUAUUAAAUAGAGUUCGGUGUCUAGCAGGACCGAUAAUCAGCAUUUCCGUUUUUUUGGCAUUAAGUUGCAAAAAGUUAGCGGACAUCCAUUGUUUAAUUUCAUUAAGACACGCCUCCAGCUGACUACAGUCCGGCGUGUUGGUCAGCUUUAGGGGCAUGUAGAGUUGGGUGUCAUCAGCAUAACAGUGAAAGCUAAUACUGUAUUUGCUCUGCUUACAUACGUCACAUACUGUCGUGCGUCCAGCGUCAUACACUCUCGCCGAGCAGAGAGGUAGCAGCAUGGCUAACGUUAGCUGAGGGCAUUAAAAUACAGGCGUUUCUCUCUCUUCCUCCUCACAGAGACGGACAACAAGCCCGUCUUCUUACAUAUGUCACAUACUGUCACGCGUCUAGCGUCAUACACUCUCGCCGAGCAGAGAGGUAGCAGCAUGGCUAACGUUAGCUGAGGGCAUUAAAAUACAGGCGUUUCUCUCUCUUCCUCCUCACAGAGACGGACAACAAGCCCGCCUUCUUACAUAUGUCACAUACUGUCACGCGUCUAGCGUCAUACACUCUCGCCGAGCAGAGAGGUAGCAGCAUGGCGUACGUUAGCUGAGAGCAUUAAAAUACAGGCGUUUCUCUCUCUUCCUCCUCACAGAGACGGACAACAAGCCCGCCUUCUUACAUAUGUCACAUACUGUCACGCGUCCAGCGUCAUACACUCUCGCCAAGCAGAGAGGUAGCAGCAUGGCUAACGUUAGCUGAGGGCAUUAAAAUACAGGCGUUUCUCUCUCCUCCUCCUCACAGAGACGGACAACAAGCCCGUCUUCUUACAUAUGUCACAUACUGUCACGCGUCCAGCGUCAUACACUCUCGCCAAGCAGAGAGGUAGCAGCAUGGCGAACGUUAGCUGAGGGCAUUACACUACAGGCGUUUCUCUCUCCUCCUCCUCCAGAGACGGACAACAAGCCCGCCUUCUUACAUACUGUAUGUCACAUACUGUCACGCGUCCAGCGUCAUACACUCUCGCCGAGCAGAGAGGUAGCAGCAUGGCUAACGUUAGCUGAGGGCAUUAAAAUACAGGCGUUUCUCUCUCCUCCUCCUCACAGAGACGGACAACAAGCCCGUCUUCUUACAUAUGUCACAUACUGUCACGCGUCUAGCGUCAUACACUCUCGCCGAGCAGAGAGGUAGCAGCAUGGCGAACGUUAGCUGAGAGCAUUAAAAUACAGGCGUUUCUCUCUCCUCCUCCUCACAGAGACGGACAACAAGCCCGUCUUCUUACAUAUGUCACAUACUGUCACGCGUCCAGCGUCAUACACUCUCGCCGAGCAGAGAGGUAGCAGCAUGGCGAAUGUUAGCUGAGGGCAUUAAAAUACAGGCGUUUCUCUCUCCUCCUCCUCACAGAGACGGACAACAAGCCCGUCUUCUUACAUAUGUCACAUACUGUCACGCGUCCAGCGUCAUACACUCUCGCCGAGCAGAGAGGUAGCAGCAUGGCGUACAUUAGCUGAGAGCAUUAAAAUACAGGCGUUUCUCUCUCCUCCUCACAGAGACGGACAACAAGCCCGCCUUCUUACAUACGUCACAUACUGUCACGCGUCCAGCGUCAUACACUCUCGCCGAGCAGAGAGGUAGCAGCAUGGCGUACGUUAGCUGAGAGCAUUAAAAUACAGGCGUUUCUCUCUCUUCCUCCUCACAGAGACGGACAACAAGCCCGCCUUCUUACAUACGUCACAUACUGUCACGCGUCCAGCGUCAUACACUCUCGCCGAGCAGAGAGGUAGCAGCAUGGCUAACGUUAGCUGAGGGCAUUAAAAUACAGGCGUUUCUCUCUCCUCCUCCUCACAGAGACGGACAACAAGCCCGUCUUCUUACAUAUGUCACAUACUGUCACGCGUCCAGCGUCAUACACUCUCGCCGAGCAGAGAGGUAGCAGCAUGGCGAACGUUAGCUGAGGGCAUUAAAAUACAGGCGUUUCUCUCUCCUCCUCCUCACAGAGACGGACAACAAGCCCGUCUUCUUACAUAUGUCACAUACUGUCGUGCGUCCAGCGUCAUACACUCUCGCCGAGCAGAGAGGUAGCAGCAUGGCGAACGUUAGCUGAGAGCAUUAAAAUACAGGCGUUUCUCUCUCCUCCUCCUCACAGAGACGGACAACAAGCCCGUCUUCUUACAUAUGUCACAUACUGUCACGCGUCCAGCGUCAUACACUCUCGCCGAGCAGAGAGGUAGCAGCAUGGCGAAUGUUAGCUGAGGGCAUUAAAAUACAGGCGUUUCUCUCUCCUCCUCCUCACAGAGACGGACAACAAGCCCGUCUUCUUACAUAUGUCACAUACUGUCACGCGUCCAGCGUCAUACACUCUCGCCGAGCAGAGAGGUAGCAGCAUGGCGUACAUUAGCUGAGAGCAUUAAAAUACAGGCGUUUCUCUCUCCUCCUCACAGAGACGGACAACAAGCCCGCCUUCUUACAUACGUCACAUACUGUCACGCGUCCAGCGUCAUACACUCUCGCCGAGCAGAGAGGUAGCAGCAUGGCGUACGUUAGCUGAGAGCAUUAAAAUACAGGCGUUUCUCUCUCUUCCUCCUCACAGAGACGGACAACAAGCCCGCCUUCUUACAUACGUCACAUACUGUCACGCGUCCAGCGUCAUACACUCUCGCCGAGCAGAGAGGUAGCAGCAUGGCUAACGUUAGCUGAGGGCAUUAAAAUACAGGCGUUUCUCUCUCCUCCUCCUCACAGAGACGGACAACAAGCCCGUCUUCUUACAUAUGUCACAUACUGUCACGCGUCCAGCGUCAUACACUCUCGCCGAGCAGAGAGGUAGCAGCAUGGCGAACGUUAGCUGAGAGGUUGUACAAGCAGAGCGGAGCGGAGCUUGUGACAAUACAAGAGAGAGAUGGUGUGAAACUGGUCACAAAUGGAGGAAGAAGGAUAAAUGCCCAAAAUAAAGAGCAGGCGAUCCAUCAUCUGGCGCUGGUUUGGCUUCAAGUGGGAAGAUAUUCAGCAGACCACAGCAACAUGCAAAGUAUGCAGCAGAAGUGUUACUACAAAAGGUAGCAACACUAUUGAUUUGUUAUUUCAUUUAAAAAAUCAACCGCGAGAAAAUGAAGAGUAUUUAAUAAAUACAAUUUUGUUCAAUUGACUUAGUUGUGAUUUCCCUCUCUGCAUGAAAGUUUCAAAGUAGCAUAUAUGAAGGUAGCAUGAAGAAGAAUGUUUGAAUGUAGACACAUAGAAUCAUCACACUGCUGGCAUUAUAUGCAUCAAGUCUUCAUUCAAGGCAAAAUAUCGUAAUAUAUUUUUUGUGAUGUAGUGGUUGGAGCACAUACUUGUUGAUCACCUGCAAUGAGGUGGCGACUUGUCCAGGGUGCACCCCGCCUUCCGCCCGAUUGCAGCUGAGAGAGGCUCCAGCAACCCCCGUGACCCCAAAAGGAACAAGCGGUAGAAAUGGAUGGAUGAAUGAAUGGAGUUGUUGCUCACAAAAAACAUGAAUGAAGUUUGCUUCUUUUAUGGAUUUAUUCUGUCUCUACUGAAAAUGAGCUGGGUCAAAAGUAUACAUACAGCAAUGUUCAUAUUUGCUUACAUGUCCCUUGGCAAGUUUACCUGCAAUAAGGUGCUUUUGGUAACCAUCCACAAGCUUCUGUGCACAUUUUUCACCCAAAAAUUGCUGCAGUUCCGCUAAAUGUGUUGCUUUUCUGACAUGGACUUGUUUCUUCAGCAUUGUCCACACCUUUAAGUCGACUUUGGGAAGGCCAUUCUAAAACCUUCAUUCUAGCCUGAUUUAGCCAUUCCUUGACCACUUUUGAGGUGUCUUUGGGGUCAUUGUCCUGUUGGAACACCCAACUGUGCCCAAUACCCAACCUCCCCCCUGAUAAUUUGAGCUUGUCCUGAAGAAUUUGGACCUAAUCCUUCUUUUUCAUUGUCCCAUUUAAAGCAGCAGUUCCCUUGGCAGAAAAACAGGCCCAGAGCAUAAUACUACCACCACCAUGCUUGACGGUAGGCUCGGUGUUCCUGGGAUUAAAGGCCUCACCUCAUAUUGCUGGGUAUUGUGGCCAAACAGCUCCAUUUUGUUUCAUCUGACCACAGAACUUUCUUCCAGAAGGUCUUACCUUUGUCCAUGUGAUCAGCAGCAAACUUUGGAGGAGCCUUAAGGUGUGGCUUCUGGAGCAAGGGCCUCCUGCUGGCAUGGUAGCCUCUCAGUCCAGGGCCAUGCUUGACUGUGGACACUGACACCUGUGUUCCAGCAGCUUCCAAUUCAUUGCACACCUGCUUUUUCAUGCUUCUCGAUUGACUCUUGAUCAUCCUGACCAAUUUUCUCUCUGCAGCAAGUGAUAGCUGUUGUUUUCUUCCUAAUCAUAACAGUGACAGAACUGUGCCAUGAACUUCAUACUUACCAACAAGUGUUAGCACAUUUGCUCUUGGGAACUUCAGCUGCUUUGAAAUGGCUCCAAGUGACUUGUUUUUUUUUUCAGAUCUGUGCUGACUUCCUUUGACUUUCCCAUUGUGGCGUCUGUAAGCCAGUCUAAUGACUAAUGACUGCAUCACAUGAGCCACAUUUCAAUGUGCUGAGAGAAGUCAACAAUCACAAUCACUCACAUGGAGUGAAGAGGCCAGGAAGCUACUUUGAUUUCAUUCUCACUUUUCUACAUCACCAACAUUGAUCAUCUAUGUUACUCUAUGUAUACUUUUGACCCAGCUCACAUUUCCAGUAGAGCCAGAAUAAAUUCAUAAAAGCAGCAAACUUCAUGAAUCAUUUUUGUGAGCAACAAGUAUGUGCUCCAAUCACGACAUCACAAAAAGUAAGAGUUGUAGAAAUGAUUGGAAAGUCAGGACAGCCAUGACAUCAUGUUCUUUACAAGUGUACCUAGACUUUUGCCCACCACUGUACUUUGUCACCUUUUUUGGUCUUCCACCAACACCAACUACCGGUAACUCUCUAGUACAAUGACUUAGUCACUUUUAUCGAUCCUCCCCAACACCAAGUCUCUAGUACAAUGACUUAGUCACUUUUAUCGAUCCUCCCCAACACCAAGUCUCUAGUACAAUGACUUAGUCACUUUUAUCGAUCCUCCCCAACACCAAGUCUCUAGUACAAUGACUUAGUCACUUUUAUCGAUCCUCCCCAACACCAAGUCUCUAGUACAAUGACUUAGUCACUUUUAUCGAUCCUCCCCAACACCAAGUCUCUAGUACAAUGACUUAGUCACUUUUAUCGAUCCUCCCCAACACCACCCUUCUAGUACAAUGACUUAGUCACUUUUAUCGAUCCUCCCCAACACCAAGUCUCUAGUACAAUGACUUAGUCACUUUUAUCGAUCCUCCCCAACACCAAGUCUCUAGUACAAUGACUUAGUCACUUUUAUCGACCCUCCCCAACACCAAGUCUCUAGUACAAUGACUUAGUCACUUUUAUCGACCCUCCCCAACACCAAGUCUCUAGUACAAUGACUUAGUCACUUUUAUCGAUCCUCCCCAACACCAAGUCUCUAGUACAAUGACUUAGUCACUUUUAUCGAUCCUCCCCAACACCAAGUCUCUAGUACAUUGACUUAGUCACUCUUGCGUGAAUAUUUAUCAGGUUUUAGUUUGAGUAAGUUGGCCAAGAAAGCCAUGAGCUGGGGGUCCAUGGACGUGAUGAGCAGGGACCCUUUGUGUUGAUUGGUGCUCCAAAGUCACAUGACAUCCACCAUUGAAAAGGUCAUCUGAUGAAGUUUGUUCCACAUGUUUUAUUUCCACUAAUGAUUUGGACUCCGGUUAUUGGGUCAAAUGCCAGGAUGUGUACAUAACAGUUAUCAUGUAUUAUUUCUCUUACUUCAGAUGGAAACGUGACAUUCUUUAGAUGCCAAAAAGUAUAUAUAAAAAGUACUAAACAUAUCACAUGAUGAUAAUAAUAAACCCAAA